GCCCUGAUGGCGGAAUCGGUAGACGCGUUGGACUUAAAAUCCAAUUGCUUUCAGGAGCAGUGCCAGUUCAAGUCUGGCUCAGGGCA
rnacentral:tRNA from 1 species